rnacentral:rRNA from 1 species
UACGGAGGGAGCUAGCGUUGUUCGGAAUUACUGGGCGUAAAGCGCGCGUAGGCGGUUUUUUAAGUCAGAGGUGAAAGCCCAGUGCUCAACACUGGAACUGCCUUUGAAACUGGAAAACUUGAAUCUUGGAGAGGUCAGUGGAAUUCCGAGUGUAGAGGUGAAAUUCGUAGAUAUUCGGAAGAACACCAGUGGCGAAGGCGACUGACUGGACAAGUAUUGACGCUGAGGUGCGAAAAGCGUGGGGAGCAAACAGG